CAGCCGAGGCUUGCUGCUUUCCCUAGCAGCAGCCCUCUCGCAGCCUCAGCCCUCCCCCAGAACUGACUUCAAGCCCUUCAGGGCAGGAGUGGGUGACCAACCCGCUACACCUCCUUCCAAGGAACAUGGAUUUGGCAGGUGUGAGACAGACACUCAGGACUUCUGGAGAGGAACUUGUUCAAGGAUAGAAUUGACUGGAAUGGAGAAAGGUUGAAGUUCAAUGAAUCAGCAUGUGCCUGGGCCAGAUGAGGAAUCCAAUGUCAUUAUCAGAACAGAAAUAAAGUUUUGGGACCACAUGCCUCUUUAACUUCUUUUAUCUGAUUCAAGAAGAACCAAAACCCAGCAGAAGAAAGGAAG